GCGGGAGUAGUGUAGAUGGCCAGCACGUUGCCCUCAUAUACAGGUUCCUAAGCACGCCGAAGGGGCGUGCGAAAGGUCCUGUAAGGCAGAGACCCGAGUUCGAUUCUCGUCUCCCGCA